CUACGGGGGGCAGCAGUGAGGAAUUUUGCGCAAUGGGGGUAACCCUGACGCAGCAACGCCGCGUGAGUGAUGAAGGCUUUCGGGUCGUAAAGCUCUGUCAAGUGGGAAGAAUAUACGAAAUGCUAAUACCAUUUUGUACUGACGGUACCACUGAAGGAAGCACCGGCUAACUCCGUGCCAGCAGCCGCGGUAAUACGGGGGGUGCAAGCGUUAUUUGGAAUUAUUGGGCGUAAAGAGCACGUAGGCGGCCGCUUAAGUCAGAUGUGAAAGCCCGGGGCUCAACCCCGGAAGUGCAUUUGAAACGAAGUGGCUUGAGUAUGGGAGAGGGAAGUGGAAUUCCUGGUGUAGAGGUGAAAUUCGUAGAUAUCAGGAGGAACACCGGUGGCGAAGGCGACUUCCUGGACCAAUACUGACGCUGAGGUGCGAAGGCGUGGGGAGCAAACAGGAUUAGAUACCCUGGUAGUC
rnacentral:rRNA from 1 species